rnacentral:rRNA from 1 species
UAUACCGUGAAACUGCGAAUGGCUCAUUAAAUCAGUUAUCGUUUAUUUGAUAGUACCUUACUACUUGGAUAACCGUGGUAAUUCUAGAGCUAAUACAUGCUGAAAACCCCGACUUCGGGAGGGGUGUAUUUAUUAGAUAAAAAACCAAUGCCUUUCGGGGCUCUUUGGUGAUUCAUAAUAACUUUUCAGAUCGCAUGGCCUUGCGCCGGCGACGGUUCAUUCAAAUUUCUGCCCUAUCAACUUUCGAUGGUAAGGUAUUGGCUUACCAUGGUUUCAACGGGUAACGGGGAAUUAGGGUUCGAUUCCGGAGAGGGAGCCUGAGAAACGGCUACCACAUCCAAGGAAGGCAGCAGGCGCGCAAAUUACCCAAUCCCGACACGGGGAGGUAGUGACAAUAAAUACUGAUACAGGGCUCUUUUGGGUCUUGUAAUUGGAAUGAGUACAAUUUAAACCUCUUAACGAGGAACAAUUGGAGGGCAAGUCUGGUGCCAGCAGCCGCGGUAAUUCCAGCUCCAAUAGCGUAUAUUAAAGUUGUUGCAGUUAAAAAGCUCGUAGUUGAACCUUGGGCCUGGCUGGCAGGUCCGCCUCACCGCGAGUACUUGUCCGGCCGGGCCUUUUUUCUGGAGAACCUCAUGCCCUUCACUGGGUGUGCUGGGGAACCAGGACUUUUACUUUGAAAAAAUUAGAGUGUUCAAAGCAGGCCUUUGCUCGAAUACGUUAGCAUGGAAUAAUAGAAUAGGACGUGCGGUCCUAUUUUGUUGGUUUCUAGGACCGCCGUAAUGAUUAAUAGGGACAGUCGGGGGCAUCAGUAUUCAAUUGUCAGAGGUGAAAUUCUUGGAUUUAUUGAAGACUAACUACUGCGAAAGCAUUUGCCAAGGAUGUUUUCAUUAAUCAGUGAACGAAAGUUAGGGGAUCGAAGACGAUCAGAUACCGUCGUAGUCUUAACCGUAAACUAUGCCGACUAGGGAUCGGGCGAUGUUUUCAUCUUGACUCGCUCGGCGCCUUACGAGAAAUCAAAGUUUUUGGUUCUGGGG